UUAACUAUUGUAUAGUACUCAGACGACACUAACAUUCAGGUUUUAGGGUCCUCUGGCAGGCACUCCCUAGCCGGAGCCAGGAGCUAGACCGAGGCCUAGCGGCCUGCCAAAGCAACAAAGGUAUACAUACACUGGGUGGGAGGUCUACCCCGAAGGGCAUGAACUCUGUAAUGAUCCCUCCGCAGGUUCACCUACGGAGA
rnacentral:misc_RNA from 1 species